rnacentral:rRNA from 1 species
AUUGAACGCUGGCGGCAGGCCUAACACAUGCAAGUCGAGCGGAGCGGCGGACGGGUGAGUAAUGCCUAGGAAUCUGCCUGGUAGUCUGGGAUAACGUCCGGAAACGGGCGCUAAUACCGCAUACUAUCAGAUCAGCUUAGGUCGGAUUGGCUAGUUGGUGGGGUAGAGGCCUACCAGGGCGCCGAUCCGUAACUGGACUGAGAGGAUGAUCAGUCACACUGGAACGGCGACAUGGUCCAGACUCCUACGGGAGGCAGAAGGGGGGAAGAUUGGACAAUGGGCGAAAGCCGGUGCCAGACAUGCCGCGUGUGUGAAGAAGGUCUUCGGAUUGUAAAUCACUUUAAGUUGGGAGGCGUUACCAGCAGAGAAAGCACCGGCUAACUUCGUGCCAGCAGCCGCGGUAAUAC